GGUUUCAUAGUGUAGUGGUCAUCACGUCUGCUGUACACGCAGAAGGUCCUGGGUUCAAGACCCAGUGGAACUG